rnacentral:rRNA from 1 species
AGGAUAAACGCUGGCGGCGUGCCUAACACAUGCAAGUCGAACGUCCUACGCAAGUAGGGAGUGGCGGACGGGUGAGUAACACGUGGGCAAUCUACCUUUCGGUGAGGAAUACCGGCGAGAAAUCGCCGACAAUACCGCAUACGCUUCGCAAGAAGCAAAGUCGCAAGACGCCGGAGGAGGAGCCUGCGCCCGAUUAGCUGGUUGGUGGAGUAAUGGUCUACCAAGGCGACGAUCGGUAGCUGGUCUGAGAGGAUGAUCAGCCACACUGGGAUUGAGAACGGCCCAGACUCCUACGGGGGGCAGCAGUGAGGAAUCUUCGGCAAUGGGGGAAACCCUGACCGAGCAACGCCGCGUGCGGGACGAAGGCCUUCGGGUCGUAAACCGCUUUUCUCAGGGGCGAGAACGGACGGUACCUGGGGAAGAAGCCUCGGCUAACUACGUGCCAGCAGCCGC